AGAAUCAACGCUGGCGGUGUGCCUAACACAUGCAAGUCGCACGAGAAAGGGUAGCGAUACCUGAGUAAAGUGGCGCACGGGUGAGUAACACGUGAAUUAUCUACCUCCGAGUGGGGAAUAACUGAGAGAAAUCUUAGCUAAUACCGCAUAACACUUACGAGUCAAAGCAGCAAUGCGCUUUGGAGAGGAGUUCGCGGCCGAUUAGUUAGUUGGCGGGGUAAUGGCCCCACCAAGACGAUGAUCGGUA
rnacentral:rRNA from 1 species